CACACACUGACAGACAUUUAGAUACACACAGACACACGGACAGAGACAUUUACAUACACACACACACUGACAGACAUAGAUACACACACACACUGACAGACAUAGAUACACACACUGACAGACAUAUACAAACACACUGACAGACAUAGAUACACACACACACUGACAGACAUACAGAUACACACAUACACAAUGAUAGACAUACACAAAGAC